GAAACUUAGGAUAGAUCCAAACCAAAG
rnacentral:tRNA from 3 species